UAACGUCAGCGGCAGACGGGUGAGUAACGCGUGGGAACGUACCUUUUGGUUCGGAACAACACAGGGAAACUUGUGCUAAUACCGGAUAAGCCCUUACGGGGAAAGAUUUAUCGCCGAAAGAUCGGCCCGCGUCUGAUUAGCUAGUUGGUGAGGUAAUGGCUCACCAAGGCGACGAUCAGUAGCUGGUCUGAGAGGAUGAUCAGCCACAUUGGGACUGAGACACGGCCCAA
rnacentral:rRNA from 1 species